GACGAACGCUGGCGGCGUGCUUAACACAUGCAAGUCGAACGGAAAGGCCCUGCGUUUGUGGGGUACACGAGUGGCGAACGGGUGAGUAACAGGUGUGUAACCUGCCAUUACCUUUGGGAAAAUUUCAGGAAACUGGGGAUAAUCCCGGAUAGGAGCUCCUAUUUCAUGGAGGGGGGUGGCACGUUUCGGCGGCUGGGGAUGGACUCGCGGCUUGUCCGCUUGGUGGUGGGGUAGUGGCUUACCAAGGCUUUGACGGGUAGCCGGCCUGGUAGGGUGACCGGCCACGCUAGGACUGGGCUACGACCCAGACUCCAACGGGAGGCAACGGUGGGGAAGGGAAUACAAGGGGCGGAAGCCUGAUGCGGCAACGCCGCGUGGGGGGAGACGGCAUUCGGUUAGUGAACCGCUUCCGCUUGUGACGGGGCGUUAGUGACGGUAAUGGGUAAAGAAGCACCGGCUAACUACGUG
rnacentral:rRNA from 1 species